GAAAUUCCGGGGCUGGGGAGUGGCGGUAGGGGAGGCCGAAUUAUAGGCAGUAAAAGUAAAUGUUGCCAAAUCCUAUACAUUUUAAAUAACAAAAAAAUGAUCUUUUUAAGCUCUUUUCUUUUGGCAGUGCUUUGUGUUGAACUGUUCUGAUGGACAAGACUACAAAGCCAUGGGGAAAUUCUUCAAAGGUCUGGCACAAUCUGGACCCUUGGUGUGCUUUGAUGAAUUUAAUCGUAUAGAGCUGGAGGGUGUCACCCACCCAAGCACCCUGCUUGGACAUGAGGGAGAAGGAGGCAUUGCAUCGGGCCAUGCGAUCACCAUGAAGGCAGCACACCUGGAUGAAUCUGGUUUUCUCCUGAGAGCCAGCAGAAAUGAAGGAUGGGUGUGAAAGCUGUUUCACACACACUUUGGCUGAGCUAGUGCAAAGAUGGUCAUGUUAUGAAGUAUUAUUGAAGAAGGUGGUAUCCAUCGAUGCAAUAAUUUCUUCAGCCCGUCAUCGAGCUGGUGGUUGGUCUCAAGGUAUCCAAUAUCUGCUUUGUUAUUGGCAUUUAUAAAUAAGAGAAAUUGGUGGAAUUAUCUUAAAGGAGGGCUUUACUCCCAAUUCACAUGAGGUAAAACAGGAAAUAAAUCUCUUCUUUUUGUCUCCCUGCACCUACUUGAUUUGAACCCCAGCAUGUACUUUCCCUCAUUGCCAAUUUUUGUAUCCCCGUGUCCAGCAGUACCCUUCUCUUCCCAGCUUCCUAACCUCACCUGCCCAUUCUCUGCCACCAAUUAAAGUCCAGUUUGGGUUCCUUAUUUCUGUAUUGUCUUGUAGAAGCUGAAACAUGCCCUCAGGUUCAGAUUUAACACUAUCUUCAUAGCCACGUGCUCUAUUCUGGGACAAUGAUAGAAAUGUUAAUUUGAAAUUUGAGAGUCCUCCAAAGUUGACUUCUUAGUGCUUCCUCCCACGUCGGAGGAACAGGACAGAUUCUGCCUGAUGCAACCUCCCUUCUCGGUUCCCCCGAGGUGACAGUCCGCUCCCAGGGGUGCGAUUCAAACUGUCACACUGAGGUCUACAAUAGCGACAUGUGUUGCAUGCAAAGACUUUUGUAUUACAAGAUCAUCUCUCACUUUUAGAAACAUUAAUUUUUAGAAACACAAAUGCUAUUUACUGGAAGGUUCUUACUUCCAGCCUGUGUCUUCCAGACCAAAAUCAACAAGAGUGAGACAGCUCGUAUUUUUUCCUUCACUGAGACAGAGGUAAGGGAAGAUCCAUCCUGCUCUCAAGUGUGAUUUCCUGAUCUAUAACCAGUUCCCUCACUUGCAACCCACUCUGGCACAUUGAUCUUUGUGCAUUUAAAAUAUCGGUAAAAUAGAUUUCAGUUCCAUCCCCAGUUUUUCCGCCAUCCUGAAAAGAUGUGACACCCUCCAAGUAUAGGAUGUGGCUAAUCGAAGGCAUUGAGUUGAGCAGGCAGAGUGCUAAGGGAAUCUUGCACCAAGCCCAUACACUGCCCAGCGCUGGUCCUGUAAAUUUUGUGCAUGAAUUCUUUCAAAAAAUGUGCUUUUCCCAUCAGUCAAGCAUCUUCUGGUGUGUAUGUCUGUAUAUCAAUGAUGGUUGUCUAUUUCUGUGAAUUUUACAAUACUUGUUUAUUUUAUGGUAGCUUGCGAGGCUGUUCAAUUUUCACUGCUGUUAUAUGACAUUCUCUUGUGCAAGGUAUCACUUUACUAUUGUUCUUUUAUUUUUUUUAAUGUGCAUGUGUUCACAGAGCAGCCUUGAGAACAGCAUGCCAUGAUCAUUUUUCCUUACAAAUGAAGGGAAUAGCUGACUUUUCCUAUUCAUUUUCCAAAUGUCACUUCAUAAAUUCAGCUGGUUUGUAACCACUGAAACCAUCCUGGGUAGGUUCUGCUGUUUACUUAUUUCCAUAAGCAAACUUUUAAACUCAUUUGUCCUGUUUCUAACAUUUUCAAUGCUCUUUCUUUGAAAGCUUCAAAGACGACUCAGGAUAAUUAGUUUAAAUCCUGAAAUCCCAUUUUAACUUGUGGGUUGUCUUGAUAUUCUUGACUAUGGGGAUGAAAUGUCAGCUAUUUAUAGACUUUUUUUCAAAAAAAACAAAGUAUGAAAAUAUUUAUUUUAUCCCUAAAAAAAAUUAUGCUUAAAAAUAAUCCUUUACUAUACCCUCCUAAAAUUCUCAUGCAAUGUACCUCUCACUCUCUUUUAUAUCAAAUGUGUUCAGUUUAGAAGACUGAACAUGAAGCGUCUUAAGAUCUAACAUUUUCAGAUGGAUCUGGACUUUUUUCUGCUACUUAAAAUUUUAUGCAGUGCAAAGAGGGUGCUCUGGGAAUGCUUGCCAGCACCUUUGCUAGCAAUGCAGAAGAGAAUUUAGCUUGUUCCUCCAAAGCUCUGCACUAGCUCUGCAGUACUAGUCUUGGUAAAAAUGCUUAAAGUAUAUGUAGUAAAGCAACUUGAAAUCCUGACCUUACAGCAGUCAAAGAAAGCCUGGCCGUUAAUUUUGAAAAUGUUAUAUGCUCUCUUGCUAAUUUAGCAGUGCAUGUUGGCAUGUGACUAAUGAAAAGAACUGCUCAAAUUGGUUUACUUGACUGGGGCUUGGAUCUGUGCAGAUUUCAAAAUGUAUGUAAUAUAUGUGCUUUUACAUUCAUUUUUCCCUUGUGACUACAGUACUAUAAAACAUUGAACCUUUAUUGGACAGUUGUUUUGUUUAGGACGAUGGUCUUAUCCUUAAAUGAAUAAUUCACAUAUCAGAGUGGUAUUUUCUUCGUGGACAUAUUGCCAAAUUUAUAUUGAAAUCCACUUUAAUAUCUAUUCUUCACUUGCUUUAUUUUUGCGUGUUUAUUUUAUGUGCCAGGAGUAGAUAUUCUGAGUGGCCCAGAGAUGAUAUUGUAGCAGAAUUGUUAUUACCCUGGCCAUUUUAGAUCUAACUGCACACUAAUUUUUCAAAGCUUUUGAUUAUUUGUCAUUAAAUGUAUGUGAAAGUCGCACUUGGGUAAUGGGACUGAUGUGUUUAUAACAUGUAAAAGACUCACUUGCAUUUCAA